rnacentral:rRNA from 4 species
GGGUUGUGAGGUUAAGCGACUAAGCGUACACGGUGGAUGCCCUGGCAGUCAGAGGCGAUGAAGGACGUGCUAAUCUGCGAAAAGCGUCGGUAAGGUGAUAUGAACCGUUAUAGCCGGCGAUGUCCGAAUGGGGAAACCCAGUGUGAUUCGUCACACUAUCGUUAACUGAAUACAUAGGUUAACGAGGCGAACCGGGGGAACUGAAACAUCUAAGUACCCCGAGGAAAAGAAAUCAACCGAGAUUCCCCCAGUAGCGGCGAGCGAACGGGGAGCAGCCCAG